UCAGAUUCUAGAGGCACCUGCAUUCCUUGGCUUGUGGCCUCUUCCUCCAUCUUAAAGUGGAUCACUCCAAGUUCUGCUUCUGUCAUCACAUCGCCUUUUCCUCCAGCUCUGACUCCUCCUGCAUUUGUCUGAGAAGGAUAAUCCAGGAUAUUCUCCCCAACUCAAGAUCCAUCUAUAAAGUCUCAGGGACUUUGCACAGGCCAUACAUUCCGCCCUUUCCUUUUUAACCCACUCAUCUUUGAGAGCACAACUCAACUGCUGCUUCCUUGGGAAAGCCUGCCUCAUCAUCUUUGCUAGGUCACACCCCCUCUCACCUUGCUGUGUGUGAUUAAGUGAUAAACGUCGGACUUCCCGGAUUGAUGGUAAGUCACAACAU
rnacentral:lncRNA from 13 species